UACGUAGGAUGCAAGCGUUGUCCGGAAUUAUUGGGCGUAAAGCGCGCGUAGGCGGUUACUCAAGUCGGAUGUGAAAGCCCUCGGCUUAACUGGGGAGGGUCACUCGAUACUGAUCGACUCGAAGGCAGGAGAGGGAAGUGGAAUUCCCGGUGUAGUGGUGAAAUGCGUAGAUAUCGGGAGGAACACCAGUGGCGAAGGCGACUUCCUGGCCUGUUCUUGACGCUGAGGCGCGAAAGCUAGGGGAGCAAACGGG
rnacentral:rRNA from 1 species